UUGCUGGCCAGCCAGCCUGGGGAGGGAGCCUUCGGAAGAAGGUUGCGGCCAACCUGGGGCUGAAACGCGGCUGGGGAAUGUCUUCCCACAUCGAGAGGAACAGAGGAACGAGCUGGUCCUCUGGUCAGCUCCAGGCACCCGUCGGCCGCUGGGUCACCAGGGCCGCCAGAGGCCGCAGGCAGAUUGGCGCGAGGUGGAGACGGAGGCGGCGGCCUUAGUGGAGGAGCGCGCCGGCUGGGGCGCAGCGCCGGGCGUCGGGGUCUCCUUGACAGGCGCGGCGGGAGCUGGGGGCCGCUGGAAGUGGUAAAGCAGCUUCAUCUGCGUGUCGCUGGCUGCAUGCAGGGUCAGGAACUGCACCGCCUCCUGCAGGCACCACGAGUAACCCUCGCUGUAGUCCUGGUGCAGGCUCUUGGGGCCGGCGGCCG
rnacentral:lncRNA from 1 species